rnacentral:rRNA from 1 species
UGUGUAGGUGGCGCGCUAAGUCGGGUGUGAAAUUUCGGAGCUUAACUCCGAAACUGCAUUCGAUACUGGCGUGCUUGAGGACUGGAGAGGAGACUGGAAUUUACGGUGUAGCAGUGAAAUGCGUAGAUAUCGUAAGGAAGACCAGUGGCGAAGGCGGGUCUCUGGACAGUUCCUGACACUGAGACACGAAGGCCAGGGGAGCAAACG